CUGUUGCGGUUAAAAAGCUCGUAGUUGGAUCUCUGUGGAGGACGGCCGGUCCGCAUUUUGUGCGUGUAUCUGGUACGGCCUUUGCAUCCUCUUGUGGAACGUUACGGUGCUUGAUUGCAUUGUGCGGAAUGCAAGACUUUUACUUUGAGGAAAUUAGAGUGUUCACGGCAGGCAUGCGCCUUGAAUAUAUUAGCAUGGAAUAAUAAUAUAGGCUUUUCGCCCUAUUUUGUUGGUUUCUAGAGCGAAGAGAAUGGUUAAUAGGGAUAAUUGGGGGCACUCGUACUAGAGCGUCAGAGGUGGAAUUCUUAGAUUGCUCUAUGACGAACUACUGCGAAAGCAUUUGCCAAGGAUGUUUUUCAUUGAUCAAGAACGAAAGUUUGGGGAUCGAAGAUGAUUAGAUACCAUCGUAGUCCAAACCAUAAACUAUGCCAACUAGGGAUUGGAGGGCGUUCUCUUUUACGACUCCUUCAGCACCUUAUGAGAAAUCAAAGUUUUUGGGUUCCCGGGGGGAGUAUGGUCGCAAGCUGAAACUUAAAGGA
rnacentral:rRNA from 1 species